rnacentral:rRNA from 1 species
CAACUUUCACCAACGGAUUUCUUGGCUCUGGCAUGGAUGAAGAACGCAGGGAAAUGCGUUAAGUAAUGUGAAUUGCAGAUUUUCAGUGAUUCAUGGAUUCUUUGAACCCCCCUUGCGCCCCUGGGUAUUCCGAGGGGCAUCCCUGUUUGAGUGCCAU